AUCCAGCUGGCGAGUCCUAAACAGAACGAAACGCGCGUCCUGGAU
rfam:Schistosoma mansoni strain Puerto Rico chromosome 2, complete genome